rnacentral:rRNA from 1 species
UACGUAGGGGGCAAGCGUUGUCCGGAAUUAUUGGGCGUAAAGAGCGCGUAGGCGGUCCGAUAAGUCGGCUGUGAAAGUCAGGGGCUCAACCCUUGGAAGCCGGCCGAUACUGUCGGACUAGAGUCCGGAAGAGGCGAGUGGAAUUCCCGGUGUAGCGGUGAAAUGCGCAGAUAUCGGGAAGAACACCCGUGGCGAAAGCGGCUCUCUGGAACGGUACUGACGCUGAGACGCGAAAGCGUGGGGAGCGAACAGG